UAUAAAUCUCAUUUGUUUAAAAGACCUCCGAAGAACAGGCGAAUCUCAACAUAACACCGACUGUUACGUAACAGUCGGGGUGUACGCCCCCAAUAUUUGCAUAUGCCAGCCCAUGAUUGAGGCAUAACACAAGGGCAGUUAGUAUUACACAGGGGAAGAACGUCUGGAUGUGCACUGCUCAAUAAUCAGACUAGUGUCUUGUUUCUGGGUGUCAGGCCAGAGUGGCCCCCACAGCACAAGGCCCCUGGCAGUCAGGUCCGAGAAAUAAUCCAUCCUUGUUAAGAUGAGAAAACAUGCUCACCUGAAACAGCUCAUCAUUGUCAGUUCACCUGCUUUUGCCCCAACACUGCCAAACUGCCUCAGGGAGACUGGCACAACCAAAGUAUCUCGACUCUCUCUCUCUCUGUCCCUCUGCAUCUUGACACAGCACACUGAGCUUAAUCGCACAUAAUUGGGUGGGAGGGACAGUGGGCCGGCCCAGGCUUUGUGUGCAAAGGGCAAGUGGUCAAGUUAAUGGAGCCCUUGUAGAGAACAGGGAGCUCUCUCCCUCUACUGGGACAGAGGGAGGGGACAACGGACCUCUUUCAAAUCUCAAAAGACAGAGUUGGGUUCCUUUUUACCCCUCCUCCUCCUCCUCCUCCUCCUCCUCUCCCCUCUCUCUUUUCCAUAGACUGACUGACAGGAUUAGCUGCAUAGCGACUCUACAGCUGAGCUUCAGUUGGCUAUCAGAGCAUGGGAAAUGAAGAGGCCUAGAGUGACAGUCAAUGUGAAUUGAGGCACAUGUGAGGCCAUCCGCCAGUAAAGGGACUCUGCAGGACAUACAGUCGGGUCCAAAAGUGAGACCACCAGUGAAAAUGCUUCCGUUUCGUAUUUUUUCGAACUUGGGAUCGUUCACCCAGAAAUAAAAAUUUGCUGUUAAUUUACUCACCCUCAGGCCAUCCAAGAUGUUGGUGUCCUUUUUCUUCGGUAGAUCAGUAAAGAAGAUUUUUAGCUGAAACUGUGGUCCUUGGUGAUACAUAUAAUGCAAGUUAAUGGCUACCGUCAUUUUGAGAAUCAAAAAGACAUAUACAGGCAAAACAAAAUUAAUACCCAUGGCUCCUGACAAUACAUUGAGGUCUUAUGAAGCGAAACAAUCUGUCUGUGCAAGAAACUGAACAUUACUUAAAACAUUACUACCUGUAAUCCGCAGCCUUUGCAAACGGUCCAGAGCCCGUUCAUGGCAGUCUGGAGCGCAAAUGAUCACUUUAAUACAAACAUAUCACUCAAACAUUUGACCAAACAAGCAAAAAACAAUAUUCAAAAAAGAAUAUUUAAUUUGUACAA